rnacentral:rRNA from 1 species
UACGUAGGGUGCGAGCGUUGUCCGGAAUUAUUGGGCGUAAAGAGCUCGUAGGCGGUCUGUCGCGUCGAAUGUGAAAAACCCGGGGCUCAACCUCGGGCUUGCAUUCGAUACGGGCAGGCUAGAGUUCGGUAGGGGAUCUGGAAUUCCUGGUGUAGCGGUGAAAUGCGCAGAUAUCAGGAGGAACACCGGUGGCGAAGGCGGGACUCUGGGCCGAUACUGACGCUGAGGAGCGAAAGCGUGGGGAGCGAACAGG